GAUGAACGCUGGCGGCGUGCCUAAUACAUGCAAGUCGAGCGAACAGACGAGGAGCUUGCUCCUCUGACGUUAGCGGCGGACGGGUGAGUAACACGUGGAAACCCACCUAUUAGAACGGGGUAAACUUGGGAAAACCGAGCCUAUUACCGAAAAUUUAUUUAACCGCCAUGGUUAAUUGGUAAAAACGGGUUUUCUGUUAAUUUAUAGUGGAUCCGCGCCGCAUUAGCUAGUUGGUAAGGUAACGGCUUACCAAGGCAACGAUGCGUAGCCGACCUGAGAGGGUGAUCGGCCACACUGGAACUGAGACACGGUCCAGACUCCUACGGGAGGCAGCAGUAGGGAAUCUUCCGCAAUGGGCGAAAGCCUGACGGAGCAACGCCGCGUGAGUGAUGAAGGUCUUCGGAUCGUAAAACUCUGUUAUUAGGGAAGAACAAAUGUGUAAGUAACUAUGCACGUCUUGACGGUACCUAAUCAGAAAGCCACGGCUAACUACGUG
rnacentral:rRNA from 1 species